UACAGAGGUCUCAAGCGUUGUUUCGGAUUCAUUGGGCGUAAAGGGUGCGUAGGUGGCGCCAUAAGUCGGGUGUGAAAUUUCGGAGCUUAACUCCGAAACUGCAUUCGAUACUGUGGUGCUUGAGGACUGGAGAGGAGACUGGAAUUUACGGUGUAGCGGUGAAAUGCGUAGAUAUCGUAAGGAAGACCAGUGGCGAAGGCGGGUCUCUGGACAGUUCCUGACGCUGAGGCACGAAGGCCAGGGGAGCAAACGGG
rnacentral:rRNA from 1 species